AUGCCGGAGGAGAAGGAGUACGUCGCCGUGCCCAUGGGCCAGGCGCCGGAGCCCGCGGACCCCGAGGACCCCGUCAAGUCGCCGCCGCGCCCCACCUCGCCGGCCACCUCCACCCGCCAGGCAUGCUUUGCGGUCCUUCAAAGCUGGGUGUCAAGAAAAUUUAUGACUGGAUGUGUAGUUAUUUUCCCAAUGGCUGUGACAUUCUUCAUCACUUGGUGGUUUAUUCGAUUUUUUGAUGGAUUUUUCAGUCCACUCUAUGCAAAGCUUGGAGUCGAUGUAUUUGGCCUUGGGUUUGUGACAUCUCUGGUAUUCAUAUUUAUUGUUGGAAUAUUUGUGUCAUCAUGGGUGGGCUCAACUGUCUUCUGGGUUGGAGAAUGGUUUAUAAAGAAAAUGCCAUUUGUAAGGCACAUAUAUUCUGCAUCAAAGCAAGUUAGUACUGCUGUUUCACCAGAUCAAAAUACAGCAGCAUUUAAAGAAGUGGCAAUAAUUAGCCAUCCCCGUGCUGGUGAAUACGCAUUUGGGUUCAUAACAUCGAGCAUGAUUCUUCAGACUGACAAAGGUGAUGAAGAACUGUGUAGUGUCUAUGUGCCAACCAAUCAUCUAUAUAUUGGUGAUAUCUUUUUGGUGAACUCUGCGGAAAUUAUAAGGCCCAAUCUGUCCAUUCGAGAAGGGAUAGAAAUAAUUGUCUCUGGAGGAAUGACCAUGCCGCAGGUGAUUACAGCGCUAGGACCUGCCCCUGAUAAGAACGAGGGCACCCGUUUAAGCAGAAUGAUGACUGUCUGA
rnacentral:rRNA from 1 species